rnacentral:tRNA from 1 species
UCCAGGGUAACCUAGUGGACAUGGCAUCUGCCCGGUAAGCGGAACACUGUGGGUUCGAUCCAUCCCUGGAC